UACGGAGGGAGCUAGCGUUGUUCGGAAUUACUGGGCGUAAAGCGCGCGUAGGCGGCUUUGUAAGUUAGAGGUGAAAGCCCGGGGCUCAACCCCGGAAUUGCCUUUAAGACUGCAUCGCUAGAAUUGUGGAGAGGUAAGUGGAAUUCCGAGUGUAGAGGUGAAAUUCGUAGAUAUUCGGAAGAAACACCAGUGGCGAAGGCGACUUACUGGACA
rnacentral:rRNA from 1 species